rnacentral:rRNA from 1 species
AUGGCGGAGCACUUGGCUUCAAUUUUUGGCACGGAGAAGGAUAGGGUCAACUGCCCCUUUUACUUCAAGAUUGGAGCUUGCCGUCAUGGGGACCGUUGCUCCCGUCUGCACAACAGGCCAACCACAUCGCCAACUAUUGUGCUUGCUAACAUGUACCAGCGGCCUGAUAUGAUUACCCCUGGAGUUGAUGCCCAAGGUGUGGCUAUUGCACCAGAGAAGAUGCAGGAGCACUUUGAGGACUUCUAUGAGGAUAUCUAUGAGGAGCUGAGCAAGUUUGGUGAGGUUGAGACCCUGAAUGUGUGCGACAACCUUGCUGACCACAUGAUCGGGAAUGUCUAUGUCCAGUUCAGGGAGGAAGAGCAGGCAGUGGCUGCUCACAAUGCCCUCCAAGGCCGCUUCUACUCUGGUCGCCCGAUCAUUGUGGAGUACUCCCCUGUGACAGACUUCCGGGAGGCGACCUGCAGGCAGUUUGAGGAGAACAGCUGCAACCGUGGCGGCUACUGCAACUUCAUGCACGUGAAGCAGAUUGGUAGGGAGCUCAGGAGGAAGCUAUAUGGUGGGCGUUCCAGGAGGAGCCACGGGAGGAGCCGCAGCCCCAGCCCGCAGCACAGGAGGGACAACCGUGACCGUGGUGGUGACUUCCGCCGUGAUGGCCGGGAUGAAUACCGUGGUGGCGGUGGCGGUGGUGGCGGCGGUUACCGUGGAGGCGAUGGAGGUGAUGGUGGCGGUUACCGUGGUGGGGGCGGUGGUGGUGGCUACCGUGGAGGUGAUGGGGGUGGCUAUCGCGGUGGUGGUGGUGGCGGUUACCGUGGUGGCGGGAGGGGUGGAGGUGGUGGCAGGCAUGACAGGUACGAUGAUGGACCGAGGCGCAGGUACGGUGGCAGCCCACCGCGGCGCGGAAGGAGCCCUCCAGCAAGGGAGAACAGCGAGGAGCGCAGGGCCAAGAUUGAGCAGUGGAACCGUGAGCGGGAGGAGAAGAAGUGA